rnacentral:rRNA from 1 species
CCUACGGGAGGCAGCAGUGAGGAAUAUUGGUCAAUGGACGAGAGUCUGAACCAGCCAAGUAGCGUGAAGGAUGACUGCCCUAUGGGUUGUAAACUUCUUUUAUAAAGGAAUAAAACGAGGCACGUGUGCCUUUUUGCAUGUACUUUAUGAAUAAGGAUCGGCUAACUCCGUGCCAGCAGCCGCGGUAAUACGGAGGAUCCGAGCGUUAUCCGGAUUUAUUGGGUUUAAAGGGAGCGUAGAUGGGUUGUUAAGUCAGUUGUGAAAGUUUGCGGCUCAACGUGGGAACUGCCUUUGAAACUGGCAAACUGGAGUGUGUGAGAGGAUAGUGGAAUUCCAGGUGUAGGAGUGAAAUCCGUAGAUAUCUGGAGGAACAUCAGUGGCGAAGGCGACUAUCUGGCACAUAACUGACGCUGAGGAGCGAAAGCGUGGGUAGCAAACAGGAUUAGAUACCCCUGUAGUC